rnacentral:rRNA from 1 species
UACGUAGGAUCCUAGCGUUGUCCGGAUUUACUGGGUGUAAAGGGUGCGCAGGCGGACUUGUAAGUCAGGGGUGAAAUCUCGGCGCUUAACGCCGAAACUGCCUUUGAUACUAUAAGUCUUGAGUUUGGUAGAGAUCCGUGGAAUUCCGAGUGUAGCAGUGAAAUGUGUAGAUAUUCGGAAGAACACCAGCGGCGAAGGCGGCGGAUUGGGCCAAUACUGACGCUCAGGCACGAAAGCAUGGGGAUCAAACAGG